rnacentral:rRNA from 1 species
UCUCCGACUCAGCGUACGAUACGAGUUUGAUCCUGGCUCAGAACGAACGCUGGCGGCAGGCUUAACACAUGCAAGUCGAACGGUUGUAGCAAUACAGCAGUGGCAGACGGGUGAGUAACACGUGGGAACCUUCCUAGGGGUACGGAACAACUCAGGGAAACUUGAGCUAAUACCGUAUACGUCCGUGAGGAGAAAGAUUUAUCGCCCUUAGACGGGCCCGCGUCGGAUUAGCUAGUUGGUGGGGUAACGGCCUACCAAGGCGACGAUCCGUAGCUGAUCUUAGAGGAUGAUCAGCCACACUGGGACUGAGACACGGCCCAGACUCCUACGGGAGGCAGCAGUGGGGAAUCUUGGACAAUGGGCGCAAGCCUGAUCCAGCCAUGCCGCGUGAGUGAAGAAGGUCUUCGGAUUGUAAAGCUCUUUUACCAGGGACGAUGAUGACGGUACCUGGAGAAUAAGCCCCGGCAAACUUCGUG